GUCUGGGUGGCUUAGUCGGUUAAGCAUCCAACUUCGGCUCAGGUCAUGAUCUCAUGUUUCGUGGGUUCAAGUCCCACAUCGGGCU
rnacentral:tRNA from 1 species